rnacentral:rRNA from 1 species
GAUGAACGCUGGCGGCGUGCCUAAUACAUGCAAGUCGAACGCUGUAGAUCUAGCUUGCUAGAUCGAAGGAGUGGCGAACGGGUGAGUAAUACAUAAGCAACCUACCCACGAAGACUGGGAUAAUCUCUGGAAACGGGGACUAAUACCGGAUAGGUAAUCGGAAGGCAUCUUCUGGUUAUUAAAGGUUAAAAACACUGGUGGAUGGGCUUAUGGCGCAUUAGUUAGUUGGUGAGGUAACGGCCCACCAAGACGAUGAUGCGUAGCCGGCCUGAGAGGGUGAACGGCCACAUUGGGACUGAGACACGGCCCAGACUCCUACGGGAGGCAGCAGUAGGGAAGUUUCGGCAAUGGGGGCAACCCUGACCGAGCAACGCCGCGUGAGUGAAGACGGCCUUCGGGUUGUAAAGCUCUGUUGUAAGGGAAGAACGGUAGAUAGAGAAUAUCUAAGUGACGGUACCUUACCAGAAAGCCACGGCUAACUACGUG